rnacentral:snRNA from 1 species
GGAUGUGAGGGCGAUCUGGCUGUGCCAUCUGUCACCCCGCUGAUCACCAGGGUUGAUUUGGCUAAUUGGGGUGGCUAGGUGGGUGUCCCCAUCCUCCCUCAAUGAUCCCCGUGUGUCCCUCCCAAAGCUGUGUGCUCGGUCAAAGAGGAUGACCACCCUCAACGGAGGAGGACCGUUCCGUGGUCAGGGGUGCACAAGUAGCUGUGUUCCCUGCUAGAACCUCCAAACGAACUCUCAAAAAGCAGUAUCAACUCACAAUGAAAUGUAAUUUAUAAAACUACAUAAAUUCUUAAGCCUCUAA